rnacentral:rRNA from 1 species
GUACACUCCUGCGGGAGGCAGCAGUAGGGAAUCUUCGGCAAUGGGGGCAACCCUGACCGAGCAACGCCGCGUGAGUGAAGAAGGUUUUCGGAUCGUAAAGCUCUGUUGUAAGUCAAGAACGAGUGUGAGAGUGGAAAGUUCACACUGUGACGGUAGCUUACCAGAAAGGGACGGCUAACUACGUGCCAGCAGCCGCGGUAAUACGUAGGUCCCGAGCGUUGUCCGGAUUUAUUGGGCGUAAAGCGAGCGCAGGCGGUUUGAUAAGUCUGAAGUUAAAGGCUGUGGCUCAACCAUAGUUCGCUUUGGAAACUGUCAAACUUGAGUGCAGAAGGGGAGAGUGGAAUUCCAUGUGUAGCGGUGAAAUGCGUAGAUAUAUGGAGGAACACCGGUGGCGAAAGCGGCUCUCUGGUCUGUAACUGACGCUGAGGCUCGAAAGCGUGGGGAGCGAACAGGAUUAGAAACCCCAGUAGUCCCAUG